UCCACAAAGAUAAUGCACUGAGAGCAGUUAAGAGCCUCUGAGAUCAGACUGCCUGGUUUCACAUUCUCCCAGCUGUGGACACACCGAUUCUUAGAAUCUGCUUCCUUAUCUGUAAAAUGGGCACAAGAGUACUCAUAUCACCCAGCUAUUGUGAGAAUUGAGAUCAUGUUUGGCAAAGCACUCGGCACAUUGCAUGGCACACGAUAGUCAACAAUCAUUAGCUAUUACUGCUGUGUGUGUGUGUGUGUGUGUGUGUGUGUGUGUGUGCGUAUGCACACACCUUUAGGGGGUGGAGUGGGCCACAACCCUAGACCUGAUUUCUAAAGUUACCUCCUACUGCCUCCAACCUAGGAGUAAGGGAGCAGCAAAGCAGGUGUGGCUAGUGUCCCAACUCCUGCAUUUGUCCUUAAGGGUUCUGAAGAGCAGUGACAAGAGCUCAGGAUUCAGGUGCCCGUUAGGGAACAAGGCGAUCCUGUUCCUCAAUACCCACAAAUGAGAUUCCUGACAAGGAGUUCUGCUGGGAUCUUCCCCAUUUGCCACCUGUUUCUUCUGGGUUUGACAGGAGCUCCUGCUACACUAAGGGCAGCAGCUGAGCACUCCUGGAAAUCUGCACAUCUGUGAGGCAGGGGCACAGUUUAAGGAGUUGUGAUUUUCAGGAUCGAUGAGGAGCGCGACGUCUGGCGACACCGGGCUCCUUGCACCCGGGUGAACAGUUCCCCGAGGCGACGCCCACGGUGCCCUUCGCCUGAAAUCCCGCGGCGCCUCUCCGGGAGGCCCCCGGCCAGAGCACGGGGGGCGAUGGCGCAGGCGAGGAAGCCAGCCGGCGCGGCAGAUGCAACCUCCGCAAUUUGGGUCUCUUUCUCCCUUCUGACAUAAUGCGUUUCCUGCUUUCUCGCCGCAGUACGCAUGCAGUUCGCUGGUGGCUGCUAAAUCUGGAGGCCAGCGGACUGAACCCUAAGAGAAUCACCGCGGCUAUCGUCGACUUAGUUUCCGCGAACACGUUUUAAGUGGCUCACUAACCCCGCCCCCAAAUUCCACGACUUUUGGCUUUCUAGGAGGCAUUGUUCUCCCCUCCUCCCAGGAAGGCAGCCGCUACACACAGCCCGCACCAGGAAACGGCGUCGGCCCGUCGCUCAAAGGGAGAGGGGCGGGGGUGGGGUCGGUUCAAACCUUCCGCCCCCGGCUGUUUCGAGAUUUCAAAUCCCUCGCUUUAUUUCAAGCAAAAGUGUUGCCAAAGCAGCAGUAUUUUCUCCCUCUCUCCAGAAACCGAGAUCCCCUACUCUUAACGCGCCCACGGACCGGUACUGUACGUCGUUAUCCUAUAUCCAGUCAGUUCUCAGUAAACAUUAGUGGAAGGCAUCAGACAAAUGCAUUUACAAGAGACGAAGCAUGCGCUAAAAACAAAGAUUUUAUUAAACUGUAUUUCACAAAUGCUCUACUUUGCUGUCCUUUCCCGCCUAAAUAAAACUCUUCAUUCAAACGGACUCUUGUUACUU
rnacentral:lncRNA from 1 species